GAGACCCUCUUCACUAGUUGCAACCGCUCAGAGUUCUGGGCGAGCACUCUAGUGAGACUGCCGGGGAUAACCUGGAGGAAGGAGAGGGCGACGGUAGGUCGGUAUGCCCCGAAUCCCUUGGGCUACACGUGGCAUACAAUGGGUGAGACAACGGGCUGCGACACCGAAAGGUGAAGCCAAUCCCUCAAACUCACUCUCAGUUCGGAUCGUGGGCUGUAACUCGCCCACGUGAAGAUGGAAUCUCUAGUAAUCGCGUUUCAACAUAACGCGGUGAAUAC
rnacentral:rRNA from 1 species